CUCUUGGGGCUUCGGUUUCAAGGGAGUGGCGCACGGGUGAGUAGCGCGUGGGAACCUGCCCUGUUGUGGGGGAUAACCGAGGGAAACUUCGGCUAAUACCGCAUACGCCCGGCGGACCUCGAAAGGGGGAAACCGGGGAAAGAUUUAUCGCAGCAGGAGGGGCCCGCGUCGGAUUAGCUUGUUGGUGGGGUAACGGCCUACCAAGGCUUUGAUCCGUAGCUGGUCUGAGAGGAUGAUCAGCCACACUGGGACUGAGACACGGCCCAGACUCCUACGGGAGGCAGCAGUGGGGAAUAUUGGACAAUGGGCGCAAGCCUGAUCCAGCAAUGCCGCGUGAGUGAUGAAGGCCUUCGGG
rnacentral:rRNA from 1 species